ACGAACCUAAAUUCGGUAUUAAGCAAAAGGGAUACCGGUAACCCCGUAAUCUUUGUGUACAAAGCCCGGGCGAAGACGCAGGACAGCAAACUGCAGUCAGAACCGCCGAGAAGGGAUGGACACAUGCGAGCCGAAUAAAGGGACCGAUUACUGCUGCUGCUGCCGAAGACCCCUGGAGAAUAACCAGCCAACCCGGAGAUCUUAAGGUCACAUUUAAACGGACUUAAUGGACUCAGUAAAAAUUGUACAAACCA